rnacentral:rRNA from 1 species
AUUGAACGCUGGCGGCAUGCCUUACACAUGCAAGUCGAACGGUAACAGGUCUUCGGAUGCUGACGAGUGGCGAACGGGUGAGUAAUACAUCGGAACGUGCCCGAUCGUGGGGGAUAACGAAGCGAAAGCUUUGCUAAUACCGCAUAAGAACCAGGGAUGAAAGCAGGGGACCGCAAGGCCUUGCGCGAACGGAGCGGCCGGUGGCAGAUUAGGUAGUUGGUGGGAUAAAAGCUUACCAAGCCGACGAUCUGUAGCUGGUCUGAGAGGACGACCAGCCACACUGGGACUGAGACACGGCCCAGACUCCUACGGGAGGCAGCAGUGGGGAAUUUUGGACAAUGGGCGAAAGCCUGAUCCAGCCAUGCCGCGUGCAGGAUGAAGGCCUUCGGGUUGUAAACUGCUUUUGUACGGAACGAAAAGACUCUUUCUAAUAAAGAGGGUCCAUGACGGUACCGUAAGAAUAAGCACCGGCUAACUACGUGCCAGCCGCCGCCGUAA